AUGUUUUAAACGUGGCAACCUAAGAGAAGGAUUUGUCUUCCAUUAAAGCGACAUGUACAGGAUCUUCACAGACACACACCCUUUUUUAUGGAUGUGUGUAGUUGGAAUGGCUCAAGCCACUGUGAAAGUCUAUGGGCAACCUGUGUCCGAGGGAGCCUGUCUGUCCCAAUAGGCUACCUGUCAGUUUUAAACCCAUUAUGAAUGCUUAUUUCAGUGUAUCAGGUGUGUAAAGGUUACAGUGACAUUGUUGGAUGUUUGGCAGCAAAACUACUGUAGAACAUCUAGGUAAGUCACUCUCAGACUUGCCUUAGUCUGCUUGGAUCAUACACUUUCCGUUUUUCAGUUGCCUGUCUCGUUGCUAUGCUGCAUCUAUUAAUGUGUGGUGGUUGCUGAUGCAAUCAUACCGAUCCAUGCUUCGAUGACCACAUGGUAUCCUGGACAAGCUUGCAAACAGUGCACCAAGUUGCAAUUGAAGGCUUGGGUCCACGCUACCUGAAAGAUUGCAUUUCCCUGUAGAAACCUGCUCAGGUGCUAAAAUGAGCACCUUCCCUUAGUCCCAUCAACAUCAGAAACGUGGUUGGUGGUGACAUGAGACAGAGCCUUUUUUGUGACGGCACCUGUUUUGUGGAAUUCGCUCCCAAGAGAGGUUAGAUUGGCUCCUUCUUUGUUAUCCUUCUACAGACAAGCUGAGACCUUCCUAUUCAGACAGGCCUUAGUUUUCAAAGUGCUUGUCUCUGUUUGCCUCACUGCUUACUCAAGGAAAACCUGAUCUUAAAAUUGGAACACAUGGCAAUCUGGUUUGGUCUAAUUUGUCACUAAAUAGCGGGUUUUCCAGGGGAAAGCAGCAGGGCAAAGGACCAAUGCUUAGAAAUUGUGGAGCAAACAGAAAACUGCUUGGACCUGUACUUUCUAGGCAUGGGGCAUACAGAAGUGUGGCAGAGCCCUUGAUGCAGACGAAGGUGAUCACUGGGCUACCUUAUAAUUGCUGGUUUUUAAUGUCUUGUGAUGAAUUUUGAUUAUUCUUUUUAGCUAGUUCAUUUUUAUUGCUCUGUAUUUUAUAAUGAAGCUUUUAAAAUGUUGGAAGCCACCUUGGAUCUUGACUUGAGAGUAGGUGGGAUAUAAAUACAUUGCAUAAAUAAAUUAAGUGGCAUUUCUGCAUUGGAUAUGCUGAAGAAUCCUGAACUCUGCUUUGAGUGCUAGAUUGUCGAUUGUGUCAUCAAGUUCUUAUAAAUUCUGUUGUUUAGUUAAACAGCCUCUAAAUAAUAAUUGUUUCCUUUCUCAAAGAAUCCUUGAAAAACUGUGUACUAGUGGCCUGAUUUUAUGCUAUGUGUACAAAGUCACUGUAGAAGCUAGAAUACAAUUAGGCCUCUGCUAUUGAACAAAAUCUGACAUUUAAAGCUCAGGAGUAAACUUCCUCAGAAAUGUCCAUAAUGGACUUUAGCCAGGCCUUCAUUCAGUGUAUGUUUUAGAGUUGAUGUCACAAACUUAACUUUAAUCCAGGGAUGGUUAAUCUGUUACCCACAGGCCCCAAGAGGUAUUUUUGCCCUCCCCAACCCCAAAAUUUGUCCUUUUUAAAAAAAACAAAAGGAAAUUAAAAAAACAUUUUUUUUUAACAGAAUGGAUACUCUACUGUAAUACCAAAGUGUUUUUGUGCCUCCCAAUAUCCUUCAAAAAUAUGUUCAUUAACAACCCCUAGCCCUUAUAUUUAUGUAUUUAUACAUAUUAUAAAAUUACUGAUUAC